UGAUAAGCCCUGCACCAAAUCAUGGGGUAUACUUAUAAGUACAGUUGACUUUUACUUUUACUACUAGUAAAAACAUUCAGCUGUCUAGCCUACUGAGAAAUGGUAGGCUACAUUGAUUCUCAUGUCAUAUCACUUGGAGGUUUUACAGUGUGAUACUGAUCUGAUGUAGUGACACACUUCUUUAUUUAUUUAGGAAGGUGCCAAGUAACUCUGGAGGAUAUUCUCGCCAUGACGAAUCGAGCUGGUAUCAACGUUCUUCGAAGUUGAAUCGGAGAUUAUAGCCAAAACUCGCAGGAACACAUAGCUUUCAAUUGAGAAAUGCUGUACACAGCGCCCAGCGCCCUGGGAGCUGAACGUCUGCGGCCAGGUUACAGUACAGAAGGGUCAUCCAAGGUGCAUCAUGACCCUCAUCCAUCUCCACCAUACCAUAUGCUGGAUGGAGUCAGAGUCUCUACAUUGACUUAUCAUCUUGUGUUAUAUUGAGUAAUUACAAUGAAGUUAUAAAUCUAGUUGGUAAUACUACACAUAAUUUGACAUUACACAUCUUAGGUGCAUUGUGGGGACCCCUUAUUGGACCAAAUGUAGCUGGUUCGAAUCCCUCCUGACCUCUCCCUACAUCUCCAUCCAUGGCUGAAGUGCCCUUGAGCAAGGCACCUAACCCCACAUUGCUCCAGGGACUGUAACCAAUACCACUUUUGGUAAAUGAAAGCGUCAGCUAAGUGCAAUGCAUUUUUUUAAAAAAAAUGCAAUGAAAUGAAAAUGUAAUAUUCCAUGUCUUUUGAUAACAUUUGUAAAUUAAUUUCAUGCAUCAUUCCAUUGUAACAAUCAUAGGGACACUUUCUCAACUUCCACCUGCACAAUAUCUUGGACUCACAGGAAGAGAUUAUCUACAUAAAUCAAAAGACACCGCACACUGCUUACCAUUCUUUUUCUUACUUUAUUUUGACACACAGGGCAAAAUGCGUUGUUAGCUCAGAAAAUUGAAGGAAGAAAAAGAACAAUAAGCAGUGUGAAAUGUCUUUUGAAUUUUGUUCAUUGUUCACCUUCUCCUGCCUCACAUCAGCACCUGCAUUGCUGAGGGCUUGUGCACAAGGACUCUCUUGAACUUAGGUCAUCAAUAUAAUUUGAUGGCCAUUGAAAAUAAAUUUUACACAUUUA